rnacentral:lncRNA from 1 species
UAAGCUUGCUGCUAAUAUUGAUGGCUAAGAAGCUCUGAAUUUCAUUAUCUUUAAAUGAGAAAGAUUACAACUUAAAUAGGCAAAACAUCCCUACUGCUGCAAGUAAUACAACGCUACUUUGCAGAUUUUGUGGAGUUACAUCCCACGACUCUAGCAUGCAAAAACAAACCCUAACCAUGACUCCUACACCUUAGGGAUCCUCCUGUAGACUAGGUAAACAAUCCUAACUACAGGCAACCAUUUUAUUAAAAAAACAAAUAACCUAAAGAUAAAUCUUAACACCCUCCCUUAAACUGAUUUCUGCAGAAAACAGUUUAAAACCGAUCUUUAGCUUCACUUUUCUCUAGCGUGAGUCCCUCCCUUGAACAAACUCCAAGCAUACUUCUGAGCUUCUCGAACACUGGCUGUUUGAGAGGUUUUGUCAUGAGAUCAGCCACCUGGUCUUCACUCUUGCAGUAAUGCAGCUCAAUCACACCUUCUUUGCAUAGAUCACGUAAGAAAUGGUAUCUAACAUCGAUAUGUUUGCUUCUUCCAUGCAUGACUGGAUUCCUGGAUAGCUUGAUUGCUGAAACAUUAUCACAAUAAAUUAAUGUUGAGUCUUGUUGCUGAUUACCAAGAACUUCUAGCAUUCUUCUCAGCCAAAUAGCUUGACAGGAACAUGAAGCAGCUACCACGAACUCAGCUUCAGUUGUGGAUAAUGUCACGAUUUGUUGUUUCUUCGAGGACCAUGAAACUGCACCUGAACUCAUUAAAAACACAUUUCCAGAAGUGCUUUUACGAUCAUCAAUGUCUCCUGCAUAAUCACUGUCAGUAAAGCCAAAAAAAUGUGACUUUCCUCCCUUCUUAUAGAAAAUCCCAAAAUCUGUUGUGCCUUUUAAGUAACGAAAAAUUCUCUUGGCUGCCCUGAGAUGCAUCUCAGUGGGAUUCUCCAUGUAACGACUUAUCACACUUACAGAAUGCAUGAUAUCAGGCCUUGUGUAAUGAGCAUUUUACCUUCAUCUCCUACCUUAACGUACAAGGUAUGCUCAUAUGGACACUUUUGGAAGCUUUGUUUGACAAAGUAUGCAUCUAUGCGACUGUACCAAGCUCGUGGUGCUUGUUUCAGUCCAUAGAGUGCCUUCUUCAACCUCAAAACCUUCUUCUCUUUUCCUUGCUGCACAUAGCCUGUAGGCUGAUCAACAAACACUUGUUCUUGCAGUUCACCAUGUAAAAAGGGGGAUUUUACAUCUAGUUGAUAGAUAGGCCACGAGUUUUGAGCAGCAAGAGAGAUUACCAAGCGAAUUGUGUCUUGCCUUGCAACUGGAGCAAACACCUCUUUGUAAUCGAAGCCAUACUUUUGCUUGUAUCCCUUUGCUACCAAACGGGCUUUAUGCUUAUCCACCUCACCUUUUUCAUUCAAUUUGGUUUUGAAGAUCCACUUCAACCCAAUAGUCUUCUGACCUCUCGGCAAAUCUAUAAGCUCCCACGUAUCAUUUUUCUCAAUGGACCUAAUUUCUGCAUCCAUUGCCUUUUAACAUUUCGAGUCUUCAACUGCUUCCUCAAAGGUGAGAGGAGUGAAAUCUGCAAACAAGGCAAAGUAUGCAGUAGUGUCAUCAUCAAAGAGUUCAUCUCCACUUACAUAAUCAAUCAUCCACGAUGGUCUUUUCCUCGGUCGUUGAGUUUGAGGUGAAUGGUCAUCCGUAGGUUGAGCAUUUUCUGGUGGGAUUUCGUCAGGCUCAGGAGACUGCUCAACCCUAACUUAUGUUGCUUCAAAGUUAGCCGGUAUUUGCUGCUACUGCUUGCUCUUUCCAGCCCAAUCCCACGUCUUUUCUUCAUCAAAAAACACAUCUCGACUGGUAAUCAUCUUCUCCAUUGUUGGAUUGUACAACUUAUAAGCUUUGGAGUGUUCACUGACUCCAAGGAAAACACAUUUUACGCCUUUGUCAUCAAGCUUCUUUCUUUUCUCGUCUGGAAUGUGUGCAUAUGCUAUGCAGCCAAAUAUUUUAAAAUGAUCUACUGAGGGUUUCCGCCCACUCCAAGCUUCCUCUGGUGUCAUGUUCUUAACAGAAAAAGUAGGGCACCUAUUUAAAACAUGAAUGGACCACAGUAUAGUUUCAGGCCAAAAACUUUUAGGAACACCUCCCUUCACUAGCAAGCUUCUGACCAUGUUGAGAAUGGUUCGGUUUUUCCUCUCGGAUACAUCGUUUUGCUGGGGUGUGUAUGAGGCAGUGAGCUGCCUUCGAAUCCCUUGCUCAUCACAGAAAGCUUCAAACUCCUUUGAACAAUACUCACCACCACGAUCAAUUCGAAGGGUUUUGAUCUUUCUGCCACUUUCAGUCUCAACCAGUGCCUUAAAGCUUUUAAAUGCAUUAAAAGCUUCUGAUUUUUCCUGCAAAAAAUACACCCAAGCCUUUCUACUGAAGUCAUCAAUAAAAGAAAUAAAGUAUUUCUUUUUACCAUUCGACAUGGGACUGAUUGGACCACAAAUGUCUGAAUGCACUAGCUCCAAUAUGUUUUGAGCUCUCCACGCCUUUCCCUUUGGAAAUUGAUCACGGUGCUGUUUGCUAAUGACACAUGCUUCACAGACUUCAGAUGGAGGUGUGAUCAUGGGAAGGCCAGUCACCAUUUGCUUCUGAUGCAGUGUCCUCAGACCGCUGAAAUUCAGAUGGCCAUAACGUAGGUGCCACAGCCACGAUGAGUCGUCUUCCUUAGCCAUCAAACUAGUUUGAACAGUUUUGAUCUUCAGCGGAAACAAUCUGUUUUGGCUCAUUUGAACAACAGCAAUGGCACCCCUUACUGGAUCAUAUAUCUUACAUGCAUCUUUCUGAAGAGUUAUUAUAUAACCUUUUUCUUGUAGCUGUCCAGCACUCAACAAAUUUGUUUUCAAACUAGGCACAUAAAAUACAUUCGAAAUCGUUUCAACAAAAUCAUUCUUAGUCCUAAUUUGAAUAUCACCCUUUCCAAUUACAUUGACACGUGACCAAUCCCCAAAGCUCACAGUAGUUUGAAAGUUUUCAUCCAAAAAUGAGAAAGAUGACUUACUGCCAGUCAUAUGAUUGUUGCAACCUGUGUCAACAUACCAUACUUCGGAAUCAAUCUCCUCCUUGACGUGGAAUACCAUCAAUAGUGUCUCAUCAUCCUUCUUUUCAACAAAGUUGGACUUCUCUCCCUUCUCUUUGUCUUUUGGCAGCUUCGUGUAGCAUUCAUUGCGAUAAUGCCCAAGAUUUCCACACCUAUAGCACUCGAUGUUGGACUUGUCAACUUGUCCUUUGCCUCUAUUCUGAGAGUGAUCAUCAUGUCUCUUGGAACUUUGGUGUUGUCUGUCUCCAUCUCGGUUGCCUCGACCACCUCGACCUCUUCCUCUACCUCUACCUCUGCCUCUUCCUCUUGAGCUUGAGGAUUCAAAAAAGGUAGAAGCUUUCAGAGCCUGUUCUUCUAAGUUGGCACGUUCUGUGAUCCCACGGUUCAGCUGCUGCUCAUGGACCAACAAUGAGCUUUGAAGCUCAUCAAUCGACAUCUCUGCAGUAUCAUUUGACUCUUCAAUAGAGCAAACGAUGUAGUUGAACUUUAGAGCCAUAGAUCUCAGGAUCUUCUCUACAAUGGAGCCAUCAUUAAGCUUGUCACCAUGGAUUCGCAUUUUGUUUGCAAUCCCCAUGGUCCUUGCAAAAUACUCGGUGACAGACUCUCCAUUCUUCAUUUGGAGAGUCUCAAAGUCUCGUCUCAGGGCCUGAAGCUGUGCACGCUUCACUCUUGCUGACCCUUGGUACUUUCUCUUCAUGAAGUCCCAAAUGUGCUUGGAAGUAUCCUUCUGGAGAAUAGUCUCCAAAAUAGCACGAUCAAUUGAUUGGAAUAGGUAAUUCUUUACCUUCAGAUCCUUCAGCUUCAGUUCUUCAAGCUUACGUUGUUGCGCAGUCGUAAGCGUACUUUCUUCGGGUACAGUAUACCCCGUUUCCACAAGAUCCCAGUACUCUUUGGACCUUAGAAAAUUCUCCAUCAACAUGCUCCAAUGAUCGUAGUGACCGUCGAAGCGAGGAAUGGCUGGUUGAACGAAAUUCUCUACUGGCUUGUCAGACGCCAUGGAUGCUUGCUACCGCAAGAAAAAAGCUAUUACUUCUAUGAGAGAUUCUCGACACAGGCCCAGUGGGGGCUCUGGUACCAAAUGUUGGGAAAACUUUUUGAAUCUGUAAACUUAAGCUUGCUGCUAAUAUUGAUGGCUAAGAAGCUCUGAAUUUCAUUAUCUUUAAAUGAGAAAGAUUACAACUUAAAUAGGCAAAACAUCCCUACUGCUGCAAGUAAUACAACGCUACUUUGCAGAUUUUGUGGAGUUACAUCCCACGACUUUAGCAUGCAAAAACAAACCCUAACCAUGACUCCUACAUCUUAGGGAUCCUCCUGUAGACUAGGUAAACAAUCCUAACUACAGGCAACCACUUUAUUAAAAAAACAAAUAACCUAAAGAUAAAUCUUAACA